rnacentral:rRNA from 1 species
CAAUAGCGUAUAUUAAAGUUGUUGCAGUUAAAACGCUCGUAGUUGAAUUUUGGUCUUGGCUAGGUGGUCUGCGCGUAUGCACAGUACUAUCCGGCUGGGACUUUCCUUCUGGCUACCUAGGGUGGUAUUUAUUUAUUGCCUUAGGGAAUCAGGACUUUUACUUUGAAAAAUUAGAGUGUUUAAAGCAGUCUUAUGACUGAAUACAUUAGCAUGGAAUAAUAAAAUAGGACUUUGGUUUUAUUUUGUUGGUUUUCGUAGACCAAAGUAAUGAUUAAUAGGGAUAGUUGGGGCCGGUUACUAUUUCUAGAGUCAGAGGUGAAAUUCUUGGAUUUCUGAAAGAGUCACUACUGCGAAGGCAUUCGGCAAGGAUGUUUUUCAUUAAUCAAGAACGAAAGUUGGGGGAGUCGAAGACGAUUAGAUACCGU